rnacentral:rRNA from 1 species
UUUAGAGAGUUUGAUCCUGGCUCAGGGUGAACGCUGGCGGCGCGCUUAAUGCAUGCAAGUCGAACGUGCCUUCGGGCAAGUGGCAGACGGCUGAGUAACGCGUGAGUAACACACCCUUCGGUGGGGUAUAGCCUCGGGAAACUGAGGGUAAUCCCGCAUACGAUCCCUAUGCUCUGGUGUAGGGAUGAAAGCCUUCGGGCGCCGGAGGAGUGGCUCGCGUCCUAUCAGGUAGUUGGUGAGGUAACGGCUCACCAAGCCGAUGACGGGUAGCUGGUCUGAGAGGACGACCAGCCAGAGGGGGACUGAGACACGGCCCCCACUCCUACGGGAGGCAGCAGCAGGGAAU